rnacentral:rRNA from 1 species
GAUGAACGCUGGCGGCGUGCCUAAUACAUGCCAGUCGAGCGAACAGACGAGGAGCUUGCUCCUCUGACGUUAGCGGCGGACGGGUGAGUAACACGUGGAUAACCUACCUAUAAGACUGGGAUAACUUCGGGAAACCGGAGCUAAUACCGGAUAAUAUAUUGAACCGCAUGGUUCAAUAGUGAAAGACGGUUUUGCUGUCACUUAUAGAUGGAUCCGCGCCGCAUUAGCUAGUUGGUAAGGUAACGGCUUACCAAGGCAACAAUGCGUAGCCGACCUGAGAGGGUGAUCGGCCACACUGGAACUGAGACACGGUCCAGACUCCUACGGGAGGCAGCAGUAGGGAAUCUUCCGCAAUGGGCGAAAGCCUGACGGGGCAACGCCGCGUGAGUGAUGAAGGUCUUCGGAUCGUAAAACUCUGUUAUUAGGGAAGAACAAAUGUGUAAGUAACUAUGCACGUCUUGACGGUACCUAAUCAGAAAGCCACGGCUAACUACGUG